CCCUCCCUUUGUACACACCGCCCGUCGCUACUACCGAUUGAAUGGCUUAGUGAGGCCUCCGGAUUGGUCUAGGGGAGAGGGCAACCUCACCUCGGGACCGAAAAGCUGGUCAAACUUGGUCAUUUAGAGGAAGUAAAAGUCGUAACAAGGUUUCCGUAGGUGAACCUGCGGAAGGAUCAUUAAAGAAAUACAAUUAUCAUUUGUACGAACCUAUCUCUUUGGCAGCUUGCUGUCAGAGGAAAAACACAUCAAAAUAAUCUGUCUAUACAAGAAAUUAUUAAAACUUUCAACAACGGAUCUCUUGGUUCUCGCAUCGAUGAAGAACGCAGCGAAAUGCGAUAAGUAAUAUGAAUUGCAGCCUUUGUGAAUCAUCGAAUCUUUGAACGCACAUUGCGCCUUGAGGUAUUCCUCAAGGCAUGCCUGUUUGAGCGUCAGCCUCCCUCAAACCCUAGGGUUUGGCCGUGAGUGCACGCCAACGUCUGCUCGAAAAAUAGUCGCAACAUGUCUAGGAUUACCCAUCAUGUGGCGAAACAAACUACUUUCGACCUCAAAUCAGGUAGGACUACCCGCUGAACUUAAGCAUAUCAAUAAGCGGAGGAAAAGAAACCAACCGGGAUUGCCUCAGUAACGGC
rnacentral:rRNA from 1 species